UCGUUAAAACUUUCAACAACGGAUCUCUUGGUUCUGGCAUCGAUGAAGAACGCAGCGAACUGCGAUAAGUAAUGUGAAUUGCAGAAUUCAGUGAACCAUCGAAUCUUUGAACGCACAUUGCGCCCGCCAGCAUUCUGGCGGGCAUGCCUGUCCGAGCGUCAUUUCCACCCUCACGC
rnacentral:rRNA from 2 species